UGCUAUAGGAAAGUACCAUCGGAAGAACAAAUCAAAGACCUGUUGCGCAAGAACAACUUUGAGGAAGCCAUCUCCCUGGUGGAGGAGCUUCAAAGUGAAGGUGAAAUGACAAAGGAAAUGCUGUCCUUUGUUCAUGCUCAAGUGGGUUUCCUCUUGCUGUUUGACUUGCAUUUUGAGGAAGCAGUAAAUCACUUCUUGCUGUCAGAAACUAUGCAACCUUCUGAAAUAUUCCCAUUUAUCAUGCGAGACCCAAAUCGGUGGUCAUUGCUGAUGAAGUAAUUUCUGCUAUUGAUCCGAAGAAGGUGGAAAUUCUGCAAAGAUUUCUCGAUAGACUAGUGAGUACACUAGAGGAAAAGAAACACCACCAAGUGAAGUUAAAGGAGGGGUUGAAGGACUUGUCUGCCAAACGGAUGGAGCUGCAGAAUUCAUUGACAUCAUUGUGGCCAAAGCAGGUGAGUUCAUUCCUUUGUUGCUUAAUUUAAGACACAGUGCUUUUGUAAGUAUGCUGCUCGUCCUUUUCAAAGUUAGCUUUGUGG